rnacentral:rRNA from 1 species
UACGUAGGGUGCGAGCGUUAAUCGGAAUUACUGGGCGUAAAGCGUGCGCAGGCGGUUCGUUGUGUCGGCGGUGAAAGCCCCGGGCUUAACCUGGGAAUGGCCGUCGAAACUGGCGAACUGGAGUGUGGCAGAGGGGGGUGGAAUUCCGCGUGUAGCAGUGAAAUGCGUAGAGAUGCGGAGGAACACCGAUGGCGAAGGCAGCCCCCUGGGCUGACACUGACGCUCAGGCACGAAAGCGUGGGGAGCAAAACGG